rnacentral:sRNA from 1 species
GUUUUCUAUCAAAUCUGGUAACCGCUCUUCUGAUGCACCAUAUGUCAUGGGUUGCAAGUGUUGCCUCGCCGCCACUCCAUAACGCCGAUUCGAAAGAUCAAAUUGACGAGAAUUCCCUAUUCGGAAUGAUGUCAUCAGGAGCUCCGACGGUCGGCUACAAUGCACUAAUGGCUCAAUAUUUGGAGAUUUCUGGAGCGUGUGGUAACAUGCGUUCGGCGAAAAUCUGCGUUGUAGGCGAAGAUUUGGAAGUUCUCGCGUCCGUUUGUUCGGUGCUCUCGUUUUUCAUUCGAUGCUCCGCCGUUCAGCACGUUG